GCACCCAGUUAAGGCCUGGCUGUAAACACACCCAGUGAAGGCCUGGCUGUAAACACACCCAGUGAAGGCCUGGCUGUAGACACACCCAGUGAAGGCCUGGCUGUAGACACACCCAGUGAAAGUCUGGCUGUAGAUACACCCAGUGAAGGCCUGGCUGUAGACACACCCAGUGAAGUCUGGCUGUAGACACACCCAGUGAAAGUCUGGCUGUAGACACACCCAGUGAAAGUCUGACUGUAGACACACCCAGUGAAGGCCUGGCUGUAGACACAUCCAGUGAAGGUCUGGCUGUAGACACACCCAGUGAAAGUCUGACUGUAGACACACCCAGUUAAAGUCUGGCUGUAGAGACACCCAGUGAAAGUCUGGCUGUAGACACACCCAGUGAAGGCCUGACUGUAGACACACCCAGUGAAGGUCUGACUGUAGACACACCCAGUGAAGGCCUGGCUGUAGACACACCCAGUGAAGGCCUGGCUGUAGACUCAACCAGUGAAGGCCUGGCUGUAGACACACCCUGUGAAGGCCUGGCUGUAGAAACACCCAGUGACAGCUGCAUCAUGGGAGAGAGUAGAUUGGGUAAGGUUGUGUUAUAUUUGUACAUGUUGUUGGUGUGUUAUGUACUGUAUGUCAUUACAUUUGUAAAUAUAGAGCAUUCACUGUGAAUUUAUCUUAUGCAUUGUAGAUACAACUUUGAUUUUAAUUCUGUUAAGUUUUAUUUAAGAAUCAAGUAACUUUGUUCAAACGAAUAUCAUGUAUGAAGUCCCAAUUUUUAGUGUGCCAAACUGUAAGAUAUGAGAAACCAGUUUUUCAAGACCAUCAUGAAGCCCCCUGUGGCUCACUGGUCUGUCCGACUAAUUCAGUUUGGUUUAAUAAAGAAUGUGUGAGGUCUGACAUACAGACAUGGGAAAAUACAGGGUAAGGUUAGACACUGAGGGAAAUGACUUGGCUGUAGGCUGACACUGUUCCACACAUCAGGGGUUCAGCCAUUUCAGCUGUUCGUUGACGUGGUCCUCAUGCCUAGUUAUCUGAGGUACCACCCUUGGCUGUUGGUUGACGUGGUCAUCAUGCCUAGUUAUCUGAGGUA